UUUUUUUUUUUAAGAAAUAAAUGAGACGGCCUAUGCUCUCGACUUUGGAUUUGAAAUCAGCAAUAUAACCAUGUCUGAGAAGCUUGAACUCAGGGAUGGCACCCACCUGACAAUACAAGACUCUAUAAACACAUUGCUGGGCAAGAUGCUCCUCAGUAACUCCUCAGCGCCUCUCAUUAAGUUCCAAGCAGCUGAUUUCACGGGUAAUUCCACAGUAAUUAAGGCCAAUGUAGAGUAUGUUUUCUCACCAAGUGACAUCACGCAACCCAGCAUCUUCGAAGUCCUUGAAGAGGUUGAACUGCCUCCAUAAUCGUAUAGGUGUGCUGCUGCACUGUCAACCAUCUGUUACCUCACAGUUUAUAUGGUCAAACUGACAAACAAAUGUUAAACUUCCAUUUUUUGUCAUGUUUUAUAUGUCUUGCUUCAAAAACAACAAAUGCUGUAAUUGAAAGUCUGAUCCUCCGUUAAUUAUUACUUUCGUUUACAGCGAGCACUCUGACAACCACAACUUCACCACCGAUCUUGUAAGACCAAUGAGUGAUUUUUUUUUAAAAAGCUAGUUGUUUUCACUUUCUGUGUUUAUAUUCCAAUUAUUUAUCAUCUUUAUUUAUGCAGGACUAGGAGGGGAAUUAUUAAGAUUCGUCUCGAGUUUAUCACACUGGGCCCAAGACCAAGUGAGAGUAAUGUUCUACAGGUGGUUAAAUCUAUGCUGGCCUCAAAUCUCACAACUAAACUAACCACGAGAGUAACAAGCGUGAGUGAACCUCUGUCCUUGCAGAAUGUUGAGUAUCUGGGUAUUAAUGACACCGCCUACGCACUCAUUUUUGCAUUUGAAAUAAGCAAAGUAUCACUGACAGAGAUAAAAAGGAAAGAAGCCUAUCAAGAAAUCCAAAAGAAGAUAAAUGAUUUGGUGAUCCAGAUACUAAAGGACCCCUCGGUUAAUCUGCUCAUUCCAGCCGAAUUCAAGGAUGAUCUCUUUGUGAUUGUGGCCAAUGUUACGUAUGUUUUCUCACAACAUGACAGCAACACGGCCUCCGGUUUCUUGGUCAGUGCCCUUUUCACGGCUUUUACCACACCAGUUCCAACCACCAUGAGCGCUACAACCUCCAACAAUGGUACAAACGUAGCAUGGAUUGUGGCUAUCAUUGUCCCCUGUGCUAUUGUCAUCGGGCUCGUACCUUGCUGGAUUCUCCUUUGCGUAAGUAUUAUGUUGACGGAAUGACAAAUAUGUGCAUUUGUUGUGAAGUGAUUAAUGACAACAGGC
rnacentral:lncRNA from 1 species